rnacentral:rRNA from 1 species
UGCCAGACUCCUACGGGAGGCAGCAGUGGGGGAUAUUGCACAAUGGGGGAAACCCUGAUGCAGCGACGCCGCGUGAGUGAAGAAGUAAUUCGUUACGUAAAGCUCUAUCAGCAGGGAAGAAAAUGACGGUACCUGACUAAGAAGCCCCGGCUAACUACGCGCCAGCAGCCGCGGUAAUACGUAGGGGGCAAGCGUUAUCCGGAUUUACUGGGUGUAAAGGGAGCGUAGACGGUUCUGCAAGCCAGAUGUGAAAGCCCGGGGCUCAACCCCGGGACUGCUCUGGAAACUGUGCGGCUAGAGUACUGGAGGGGCAGGCGGAAUUCCUAGUGUAGCGGUGAAAUGCGUAGAUAUUAGGAGGAACACCAGUGGCGAAGGCGGCCUGCUGGACAGUAACUGACGUUGAGGCUCGAAAGCGUGGGGAGCAAACAGGAUUAGAUACCCCAGUAUU